rnacentral:sRNA from 1 species
AGUGAACUUCGUUUGCAGCGGAAAUCCUUUUAAAUGAAGCAGCGCGGAAUUUAAAAGAUUGUAGCGGAUAGCCCGACCCGCA